rnacentral:lncRNA from 7 species
ACAAUGGAAGAGGAAUUAAGCUGCCCAUCUGUGCAAAGUAGGCUGUUUUGUCUGCUCACGGUUGAUUAGUGGGAGCAAAUGGACUUUUGCUAAUGUUGGGGGCACAGUUCUGGAAGAUGGAAGACCCACAUUCGAGUCCCUCCUCUUGCUGAUUAAGACCAUCACACCUUGGACGACCCGCCUUUACCGAAGAUCAGCAGCCCCGACACCAAGACAUCGCUGGAUGAGAGGUAGCCAUGGAAGGAAAUGGCUGCCCCAGUUAGAAGCUGAGAAUGAAAUGACUCCUUUUCGGCUGCAGCAUUAGAGGGGCCUUCAGUAGACCAUGUGCUACAUGAGCACUCAUCUCAGCCUUGGGAACACUCCUGGGAUGCACUUUUUUUUCUCUAUCCAACCUCCAGGUGUUUGAGCUAGUUAGGAACCAAAACACAUGCUUCCUACAGUGAGAAAAAUCAGAGUCUAUAUGAAAGCAAUGAACACUACCUCUGCAAGUAAAAUAAACAAGAACAGAGUAACAUUUGGAAGACUGGCCAUCUUGGCCCAUGCAGCUCUUGUCCAGAUAGCAGCCACCCUUCCCUCCUGUUCCUGACUAUACUAGAACAACUUGGAAUCACCAAAUUUAAGCACGGCAGAGCUUUGUUUUACAAUUACAGCAGUAAACUAGGUGUUUUUCUCCUUGUCAAACCUUCACCAACAGUUGAACGUUUAUUCAAGUCACAGUUGCUGCUGAAGUUCAGUGUCUCUGUGGGUAAAGAGAUAUUAAUGGAAACGGGGAAAUACUGGGGCAGCACUUGUACAUAUCAGUCAUUAGCCACACAGUAACUCCCCAGAGGAGAUUUUUACUUGCUGAAGAGCCCCACAGUGCACAAAUUGCUCUAGAAAAACCUGUGAAAGGGAAGACUACCUGUUUGUUUCUGUCUACUGCUUUGCCCUCGGGUCUUAUUUGGGCAGAAGUUACCAAACUGUACUAAAUUAUCCUGAGCUGUGGCGGUCUGGAGAUAACAACAAACUAAAUGAUGAACAAAAGGAACGCCAGCGUGAUGUUGGAGCCUUUUGGUGCUUAUGCUCGCACUACUCUAAAGGAGGCUUGAUCUUGCCUUUUAUUUGGGUAAUUCUCAUCACGUCUGAUGGUCCACCAGUUAGCAGUUCUAUCCAGAAGCCUACAGGUUCUGAGCCGUAUCUCCUCUGGCCCCACUGAUGGCAGGUCCUUCCAUGCCAGGCAAUCACUGCCAUUAAGACAAAGUACUCUCUUUCAGGGGACAGCAGCAUGG